rnacentral:rRNA from 1 species
CCUACGGGGGGCAGCAGUGGGGAAUAUUGCACAAUGGGGGAAACCCUGAUGCAGCGACGCCGCGUGAGUGAAGAAGUAUUUCGGUAUGUAAAGCUCUAUCAGCAGGGAAGAAAAUGACGGUACCUGAUUAAGAAGCCCCGGCUAACUACGUCACAGCCGCCGCGGUAAUACGUCGGGGGCAAGCGUUAUCCGGAUUUUCUGGGUGUAAAGGGGGCGUAGACGGCAGGACAAGUCUGGAGGGAAAUGCCCGGGCUUAACCCCGGAACUGCUGUGGAAACUGCAGAGCUUGAGUGCAGGAGAGGUAAGCGGAAGUCCGAGUGUAGCGGUGAAAUGCGUAGAUAUUAGGAGGAACACCAGUGGCGAAGGCGGCUUACUGGACUGUAACUGACGUUGAGGCUCGAAAGCGUGGGGAGCAAACAGGAUUAGAUACCCGAGUAGUC